ACUAGUCAUCAGUGUUAAAUGUGCUUCUGGUGAGGGGUUCAGGAAGUUUCCAAUCAUGACGGAAGGUGAAGAAGAGUAGGCAUCACAUAGCAAGAGGGGAUGCAAGACACAGGGAGAGAGAGAAGAGGGAGGCACCAGGAUGCUUUCAGCAAUCAAUGUCAGGAAAACUGAUAGAGCAAGAAGUCACUCAUUGUCACAAGGACGGCACCAAGCCCUUUCUGAGGAAUCUGCCCCAUGACCCAAACACCUCCCACCAGGCCCUACCACCAACACAGGGGAUCACAGUUCAAUGUGCGAUUUGGAGGCAAAACAUAUACAAACUAUACUAGGAAGACAAACUGAUGUGAGGAUGAGGAGGAGUCAGAAAUAAACUCAUUCAACUAAUACUUGAGUAGCUACUGUUGCCUACAGUAUGUUCAAGGUUUUGCUAGUCAUCCAUAUGAUCACUAUUGACAGCUUGGGAGACUCACACAGGCUAGUGAAUUUCAGGAAUUAACAGAAACUGAACAGCUUCUAUAAUCCUGCAGGAAGUAACCUCUGGAUGGCACAACUUCAACCCAGGAUAUCUCAGCCACUGAUAGGUGCCAAUGACAGAACUCGAAGAUACUACCUCAGUCUACAGCACACGCUGCUUAUAUCUUUUCACUUUGUAGCUGGAAGUAGCCUUUUCCAAUGGCUCCAAAGUCUGCUGAUUUGCAAGCCACACUUGCAGGUGAAUGCUGCAGCUUGUCUCAAGUCCUAGGGACUUGCCUCCCAAAUGUAAUCUUAAAUAAAACAUGAAUCAAAUUUUGUAAAGAGUUUAUAAAGCAGCCCAGCCAAGUUAGCACAACUUAGUUUUAAGAGGCAUUCCAAUACUUACAUGG
rnacentral:lncRNA from 10 species